GACUUUAACUUUGUUAAUGACUUGUUGAAAAGUCAUUAAUAAAGUUAAAGUCAACGGAAGAAGCCGGCAAACAUGUUUCCUUCCCACAAGUUUUGUCUGGCCAAAGUUUGACACUAAAACUCCCUAGAGGGAGAUGUUUCACUAAUUUACCUGCCAAGAAGAAGAGCUUUCAAGUAUGGCUAUAGCCAGGGGCCAAAUUCCUGAGCGAUGGAGCUACGAUGUGUUCUUAAGUUUCCGUGGCGAAGAUGUGCGG